rnacentral:rRNA from 1 species
UGGGAAUUUUGGACAAUGGGCGCAAGCCUGAUCCAGCCAUGCCGCGUGCGGGAAGAAGGCCUUCGGGUUGUAAACCGCUUUUGUCAGGGAAGAAAUCUUCUGAGUUAAUACCUCGGGAGGAUGACGGUACCUGAAGAAUAAGCACCGGCUAACUACGUGCCAGCAGCCGCGGUAAUACGUAGGGUGCAAGCGUUAAUCGGAAUUACUGGGCGUAAAGCGUGCGCAGGCGGUUUUGUAAGACAGAGGUGAAAUCCCCGGGCUCAACCUGGGAACUGCCUUUGUGACUGCAAGGCUUGAGUGCGGCAGAGGGGGAUGGAAUUCCGCGUGUAGCAGUGAAAUGCGUAGAUAUGCGGAGGAACACCGAUGGCGAAGGCAAUCCCCUGGGCCUGCACUGACGCUCAUGCACGAAAAGCGUGGGGAGCAAAACAGGAUUAGAUACCCUGGUAGUCCACGCCCUAAAACGAUGUCAACUGGUUGUUGGG